GGACUACUGGGGUAUCUAAUCCUGUUUGCUCCCCUAGCUUUCGUGCCUCAGUGUCAGGUGUUGUCCAGGGACUCGCCUUCGCCACUGGUGUUCCGCUUGAUAUCUACGCAUUUCACUGCUACACCAAGCAUUCCAGUCCCCCCUCCAACCCUCUAGCAACGCAGUUUCCAAUGCCGUUUCGGAGUUGAGCUCCGAGAUUUCACAUCCGACUUACGUCACCACCUACGCACCCUUUACGCCCAGUGAAUCCGAACAACGCUCGGGACCUCUGUAUUACCGCGGCUGCUGGCAC
rnacentral:rRNA from 2 species